rnacentral:rRNA from 1 species
GAUGAACGCUAGCGGCAGGCUUAACACAUGCAAGUCGAGGGGUAUAGUAGCAAUACUAGAGACCGGCGCACGGGUGCGUAACGCGUAUGCAAUCUACCUUUUGCAGAGGGAUAGCCCAGAGAAAUUUGGAUUAAUACCUCAUAGUAUAGUACAAUCGCAUGAUUGAACUAUUAAAGUCACAACGGCAAAAGAUGAGCAUGCGUCCCAUUAGUUAGUUGGUAAGGUAACGGCUUACCAAGACUACGAUGGGUAGGGGUCCUGAGAGGGAGAUCCCCCACACUGGUACUGAGACACGGACCAGACUCCUACGGGAGGCAGCAGUGAGGAAUAUUGGACAAUGGGCGCAAGCCUGAUCCAGCCAUGCCGCGUGCAGGAUGACGGUCCUAUGGAUUGUAAACUGCUUUUGCACAGGAAGAAACAACUCUACGUGUAGAGUCUUGACGGUACUGUGAGAAUAAGGAUCGGCUAACUCCGUGC